AAGAGUUUGAUCAUGGCUCAGAUUGAACGCUGGCGGCAGGCCUAACACAUGCAAGUCGAACGGUAACAGGAAGCAGCUUGCUGCUUCGCUGACGAGUGGCGGACGGGUGAGUAAUGUCUGGGAAACUGCCUGAUGGAGGGGGAUAACUACUGGAAACGGUGGCUAAUACCGCAUAACGUCGCAAGACCAAAGAGGGGGACCUUCGGGCCUCUUGCCAUCAGAUGUGCCCAGAUGGGAUUAGCUUGUUGGUGAGGUAACGGCUCACCAAGGCGACGAUCCCUAGCUGGUCUGAGAGGAUGACCAGCCACACUGGAACUGAGACACGGUCCAGACUCCUACGGGAGGCAGCAGUGGGGAAUAUUGCACAAUGGGCGCAAGCCUGAUGCAGCCAUGCCGCGUGUAUGAAGAAGGCCUUCGGGUUGUAAAGUACUUUCAGCGGGGAGGAAGGUGUUGUGGUUAAUAACCGCAGCAAUUGACGUUACCCGCAGAAGAAGCACCGGCUAACUCCGUGCCAGCAGCCGCGGUAAUACGGAGGGUGCAAGCGUUAAUCGGAAUUACUGGGCGUAAAGCGCACGCAGGCGGUCUGUCAAGUCGGAUGUGAAAUCCCCGGGCUCAACCUGGGAACUGCAUUCGAAACUGGCAGGCUUGAGUCUUGUAGAGGGGGGUAGAAUUCCAGGUGUAGCGGUGAAAUGCGUAGAGAUCUGGAGGAAUACCGGUGGCGAAGGCGGCCCCCUGGACAAAGACUGACGCUCAGGUGCGAAAGCGUGGGGAGCAAACAGGAUUAGAUACCCUGGUAGUCCACGCCGUAAACGAUGUCUACUUGGAGGUUGUGCCCUUGAGGCGUGGCUUCCGGAGCUAACGCGUUAAGUAGACCGCCUGGGGAGUACGGCCGCAAGGUUAAAACUCAAAUGAAUUGACGGGGGCCCGCACAAGCGGUGGAGCAUGUGGUUUAAUUCGAUGCAACGCGAAGAACCUUACCUGGUCUUGACAUCCACGGAAGUUUUCAGAGAUGAGAAUGUGCCUUCGGGAACCGUGAGACAGGUGCUGCAUGGCUGUCGUCAGCUCGUGUUGUGAAAUGUUGGGUUAAGUCCCGCAACGAGCGCAAC
rnacentral:rRNA from 1 species